rfam:Triticum aestivum genome assembly, contig: Triticum_aestivum_CS42_TGACv1_scaffold_161627_2DL
UUUCUAAUCCCUCCGUCUGAAAAUAAUUGUCAUCAAAAUGGAUCAAAAGAGAUUUAUCUAAAACUAAAAUACGUCUAGAUACAUUUCCUUUUAUCCAUUUUGAUGAAAAGUAUUUCCGGACGGAGGGAGUAUUUG